UACGAAGGGGGCGAGCGUUGUUCGGAAUUACUGGGCGUAAAGGGCGCGCAGGCGGCUCUGAAAGUCAGAUGUGAAAGCCCCGGGCUUAACCUGGGAACUGAAUUUGAUACUCUGGAGCUUGAGUGUGGGAGAGGAGAGUGGAAUUCCCAGUGUAGAGGUGAAAUUCGUAGAUAUUGGGAAGAACACCGGUGGCGAAGGCGGCUCACUGGCUCGUAACUGACGCUCAUGCACGACAGCGUGGGGAUCAAACAGG
rnacentral:rRNA from 1 species